CUGAAAAAAUUUAGUCACGUAGUUUUCUUAGACGGUGUAUUACAAAGAGCAAAAAGUUUUUUCUUUUGGAGAUACACCGAAAUAUUAAAGAAAUAUUCAGAGAGCGAGACAACAUUGGUUGUGAUGGCUGAACGUUUUUUCCUGCUACUAGUCACCCAUGAGGCACGGAGCAGCCGCGUGAGCACAUUUUGACCAGAGGUCAGGUCCUUUUAGCGGGAACCUAAACUUCCUGGAGCUGCAUUCGAAUAUCGUUGGAUGUUGAUGCUGGAACUGGCGUGAACAGGAAGUUGGGGGAGGCACUCAAUGGUAGGGCGUCACUGCACUUACUCAGUACUUCCUCUACAGCUCUCUGUGUAGAAAAAUUGAGUUUUCAGUUACCAUGGCAUUCACAAGGUCCAAGGAGGACGACACUAAUUCAGUAUACCCCAGCUUUAUCCAUGCAAAACACCAAGACAAGCUUAAGCUACAGAAUGGUAACAGAGAUGGGACAGGACAAGGAUUCACUAUUGUGAAUAGCACAUCUUUACCUCAACCACUUUGACCAACUCGACCAGGUCAAUUUGGCGUGACUCCACAGGCUGGGGGAUCUCAAGACUGCUCUGCUUUGCAUCCUCCAGUAAAGGCUCAACUGCGAGAAAGCAUGGAUUUGCCAGGUCAAGCGUCUGAGCCUGAGGAACUGAGAGAUGAUCUACUAGUGUGAUUUAUGCUGAUGGAAUUUACCUCUGGAUCGCUUCUUUUGUAGCAGGAAGGGUAAAUACCAGUGACCUCAGCAGACCAGCUAAUCAUCCACAUCCCACCAGUUUGCAAGUGGACCAACCUUUGUGAAGAACUUGUGGCCACGGAUAUUCUGCGAUGACGGGCGAUCCUGUGGGUCGAUUUGAAAUAUUUUGCCCAUCAGUUUCCCAGCUUCAAUACCGAGGUUCUGGGGUAGAAUAAAUUUAGCUUCUUUGAUGUUCUUUAUCAUUUCACAGCGAUCGUCGUGAUCGAAUGGGAUUUCCCCAACCAGAAGCUGGUACCUGUAGUAAGAAAGGCAGCAAAGGUGUUUGAGGUCUUUCACAUUUGACAUAAAAAUGCUGUGCUUCCAAAAGAGCAAUUCCUCUCAACUGUGUGCCAGUAUUCAUUUUUCUUUUCUAUUUCAAGUAGAAAAAAAAACAUAUUUAUGUAUGUUAGACACAUGUCUUCUUAAAAUGUUAGACAGAUUUUAUUAGCCAUGCUGAUCUUUGGCCGGGAGGAGGGUUGAUAGGGUAUACGUACAUGACACAGCCCAGUGCCCAGACUUCUGCUUCUGUUCCAUGGCCCUCCCGUUUCCACACUUCUGGAGCCAUGUAGACUGGAGUACCACACACUUUUCUACAACACACACAAAUGGAAAACGUUAAGCGCACAUGUGCUUUAGUUUGCUGUAUAAACAAAUUUGAAAGCUUAGCCAGGAAUUCUGCAAAAAACACCUACUUCUCCCUCGGCUCCAGCUUGACCGCCAGUCCAAAAUCUCCAAUUUUCAGUUCCAUUUUGUCAUUCACAAAUAAAUUUUCUGAAAGACAAACGAAUUUGCAUUAAGGAUAGACUCAAAUACUUUGCCAAACUGCAGACUUUACCAAAUUGAUAAAUUAACACUACACAGAAAUCCAGACGAGCUACACUCGCAAUGCCAUGUGAAAUGCCAGCAUUAUUAAACAGAGAAUUGAGUAAAGCGUGAGUGCAUGUACACAUACCGAACUAGAUGUCCCUAUGGACAUAACAUUGCCGGUAGAUGUGUUUUAUCCCCGAUAUCAGCUGUUGAAUGUAAUAGCGGACUUCGGGGUCAGAGUCCCGCGAGCUUUCAGGAUGUCACCAAGUGUCUGGGCAGGGAGAAACAGGGGCAGCCUGAUCCAUCACAAAGUCUUUGCCUUAGUAAGAUGUCUACAAAAGUCAGGGACUCACCUGCCUACUGCACAACUCCAUGAAAAUAUACAUGAACAGAUCGUCUUCAAAAGAAUGGGAGAAGCCCACAACGUUCUUGUGCCGUGGUUUUUUUUCAAAAUCUCCACUUCUUGACACACCUGAGUGAAAUAUCAAACACCAUCUCAUCAAGUAUUGUAACAGGGAAAUGCAGAUAAACUGCAAAGAGGGAUGACAUUAAGCACAAUCCAUACCACAUACCUCCUCCAGUCCCCAGGAAUGUAGAGGUAUGACCAUCACAGCAAAGGUGUCACCACUUUCAAGGUCGGUCAUCUUGUAGCACUUGCCACAAGCACCCUAAAGAACAUGUCAAUAAAGGGCAUUUCUGACUGACCCUGUUCAAGCAUCUCCUCUCCGCAGAAAAAAAUCAACUGUAAUCACUUUCAACAACAACUUUAUGGUGCACACCUGUCCCAAAAGCGGCCAAGACAGCUGGGCAAUUUGAACUUGCUAGAUGGAUUACAUCACCACAUUGAAAAUUCCAUGGACGGAAAAAGAGGUGAACUUGCUAAGACAUUGCAACAAAACACGGAUAAAAACUUUCAUUACAAGCAACUUCAUUGAAGAAAAAAAACCCAUCUCCGUUAUGUACACCAAACAUUCAGUUUCGGUAAUGCAGUAACACAUGCUCAGGAAUAAAGACUUUUAUGUAGUGUGCAGUGACUAUCACAUCAUAUGUUACUGCGGCUCUUUAGGCACUCAGCUAUCGGUCUCACUUUGUCAUACAGAACAGGGAUUCAUUUUCUGGUGAAAAACUUCCUAUGUGGUAUGUGAUACCUCAGCUCCAAGAUGUGGAGCAGUUAUCUAUUACACCGUAAGGCUGGAUAUUUUUACAAAUAAAGGUGGCAAUGGUGUCGGUUAUUGCCUUAGAACGAGCUGUUAGCUGGCAGGGUGUGAAAAUUAGGGCGUUUAUUUUUUUUAAAGAGUUUUGUGUUAUUUGAAAGCAUUGUGAAAUGUAAAAAAAAAAACAGUAAUGAUAUGAUGAAAAUGGGAAUACUGACGUUGACAAUGCCAAUAUAAUAUUUUGGUAUGUUAAGGCAUGUUUGUUCUCUGCUUUAAAGAAAGGGGGAUGUGUUGAUAUGUAGUGCAGUACUUUUGGUGACCAGCAGAGAGACCUGGAGGGUUGGGAGGAGGUAAAGACAAGGGGUAGGGAGACCGACGGCACAGAGCAGGUUGUGGGUUUGCAUGGAAGAUGUUGGUGGUUAAAUAAAAGUUCAUUGUUCAUGAAACAAGGUCUCUUCAAUGACAUAUGAACAACACAAUGUAUCUCUUCCUUCUCAUGAUAAUCUGACUCGCCAAACAUGCCUCCAGCUCGCGUGAUGUGGCCGAGGGACUUGAGGAGAAUUAUACACUGACAGCAGUGGAGAUGAGAGCGCACUUGAAAUUAUCAGGCGGAACCCACCGACUAGCCCGUCUCGAUCACGCCCACAUGGGCGGGACCAGCCAGGUGCUCCGUAGAACGCUUAAUGACGGAAUGGAUUUAAGCACUGAGCUCCAUCGGGACAUUGCGAAACCCGUUCCCGAACCUGAACCUCCUGCCCCGCUGAGACCGGCUUCUCCUGGUAAAGACUCCAACAGCAAGACUGUGGUACAGCAGCCUGUGUCUGACACUGUGUCUGACACAGACUCUGUGAGCCUGCAGUGUACGAUAGAGACUGGGAGCUGUGCAGGAGAACACAGUGUUUACUGGUUCAGACAUGGAUCAGGAGAAUCCCUUCCUGGAGUCAUUUACAGCCACGGAAACAGGAGUGAUGAGUGUGAGAAGAGCCCUGAGGCUGGAUCUCCUACACGGAGCUGCGUCUACAGCCUCCCCAAGGGGAACCUCAGCCUCUCCAAUGCUGGGACUUACUACUGCGCCGUGGCCAUGUGUGGGGAGAUGCUGUUUGGCAAUGGGACCAAGCUGGAUAUAGAUGGUAACACCCAGUGAGGGGAGAUGCUGUUUGGGAACGGCACACAGCUGGAUAUAGAUGGUAACACCCAGUGAGGGGAGAUGCUGUUUGGGAACGGCACACAGCUGGAUAUAGAUGGUAACACCCAGCGUGGGGAGAUGCUGUUUGGGAACGGAACACAGCUGGAUA